rnacentral:rRNA from 1 species
AUUGAACGCUGGCGGCAGGCCUAACACAUGCAAGUCGAACGAGUGGCGGACGGGUGAGUAAUGUCUGGGGAACUGCCCGAUAGAGGGGGAUAACUACUGGAAACGGUAGCUAAUACCGCAUACUAUCGGAUGUACCCAUAUGGGAUUAGCUAGUGGGUGGGGUACAGGCUCACCAAGGCGACGAUCCCUAGCUGGUCUGAGAGGAUGACCAGCCACACUGGAACUGAGACACGGUCCAGACUCCUACGGGAGGCAGCAGUGGGGAAUAUUGCGCAAUGGGAGCAAGCCUGAUGCAGCCAUGCCGCGUGUAUGAAGAAGGCCUUCGGGUUGUAAAGUACUUUCAGCGGGGAGGCGUUACCCGCAGAAGAAGCACCGGCUAACUCCGUGCCAGCAGCCGCGGUAAUAC